UCCUGGUAACUGGAAUCUCUUUGGCACUUGUCAGUACCAAAGUCUGUCAUGUUUUAUUAUGACAGUAGUUUGUGUUGUUUACUUAAAAUUAAUAAAUUAUUUUCUUUGGUUCUUGCGCAAACCAAUAAUAAUAAACCUAUGUGCUAUCCGUUAUCACACCCUGGAGUGUCUGCAUAUAAAAUCACGCGACAGAGUGGUCAAUUUCUCCGCCGAUGAAAAGCUUUACUGGCACAACAGUGAUUAAGAAGAGACUAAUGUUGUAAAAUCCAAAAUAAAAGAUGGCAAGUCGGUCCCCAACAAACAAGCGGCAUGGGAGUUUAAUUGUAAUGCUAAUAUACACAUGCUUGAUGAUAAGAAAGCAGUCACACUAAUAGUUUGGGCUACAGAAAGAGGAAAACAAAUUUUAUCUACAAAAAGGUUCACACAGUGUUGCAUAUGCACAGGACCCUAUCACACAUCACUUGCUCCCAGGGAAAGAGACAGCUUCAUAGGGUGUGCCCAGUGCAGCGCUGUAAAACAGCACUGGCUAAACAACACUUAUAUGGGAUUGGUAGCCAAAUUUAUAAUAAGAUCAACAAAAUCUGUUUCAUACAUUCUACUAUCAUUGGUGAGUGUAAGGAAAGGGUUGUCAGCUGAAUAAAAACUCAGAGUUACGAGGACACUGAAGUGCUAUUAAUGACUUGACUAAUUUCAACACACACAAAAUAGGCAAGCUCGGUCUUCUUAUAUAAAAUUGUUACAUUAAUUGCUCAAUUUUGUAGAUUAUAUUGAAUUUGACUAUGUACUUUCUCAAUAAAAUUUACUAUAAUUAGUGUAUAAUGUAAUCUUUCGCUUGGGUACCAGAGUUCAUACAAAUGUUUGUAUUUGUGACUUUACAUUUUGGAGUUAUUAGAAUAUUUCAGAAGUUAUAUUUUUGUAGAUCUCCAUGUUAAUUUGAGUACUCUGUAAUUCAAUAAACAUAUUUAUUUAUUAUAUAUUAUAUUAUUUAUAAAGCUAAAUUAGAAUUAGAAGAAAUGAAAAAAUCUAAAAAGGAUUGAAAUAAAUGUUUACAAUUGAUUA